GCAGCCUACUUGGAGGUUCCUGUCUCGGAUGCGCUGGAGGACAUGUUCUUGCUGUUUGACGAGAGUGGUGACGGUGAGAUAGACCUCCGUGAAUAUGUGGUCGCCUUGUCUGUGGUGUGCAGGCCAUCCCAGACCCUGGCCACCAUCCAGCUGGCAUUCAAGGCAAGCAUAUCCCUUGAGUGUGAUUUGUGCAUCUGUUAGUUAUUCUUCUUAUUAUUGUGACAGAUUCCUGGCAAGAAGCGUGUUCUGGGAGGAAAGGUUCAUCUGGGGCCAUGGUUUGAGGAGAUGCAGUCAUAGUGGGGAAGUCAUGAAGGAGGCGUGGCUGUGAAGUGGUUGGUUGUGUUCAUUUGGAGUUAGAAAGCAGGUGAUGGAUGUUGAUGCUCAGCUGAAUUCUUGCUUUCCCCCUUUUAUCCCGUCUGAGACCCUAGCCUCUGGGAUGCCACGGUAUCAUCCAAGGUGUAUCUCCCCAUCCCAUUUAACACUGUUACAGGCGUGCCCAGAAAUGUCUCCUAGCCAGCAUCUCCAUACUUGAAAACCUCUCCCUUUAAAGUUCCAAAGGC